GAUGAACGCUAGCGAUAGGCUUAACACAUUGCAAGUCGAGGGGCAGCACGAAUUUAGCUUUGCUAAAUUUGGUGGCGACCGGCGCACGGGUGCGUAACGCGUAUGCAACUUACCUUAUAGAGGGGGAUAGCCCGUUUAACGACGGAUUAAUACCGCAUAUACAAGUAGCUCGGCAUCGAGUAACUUGGAAAUGAAUUUCGCUAUAAGAUAGGCAUGCGUCCCAUUAGCUAGUUGGUGAGGUAACGGCUCACCAAGGCGACGAUGGGUAGGGGAACUGAGAGGUUGAUCCCCCACACUGGUACUGAGACACGGACCAGACUCCUACGGGAGGCAGCAGUGAGGAAUAUUGGUCAAUGGACGCAAGUCUGAACCAGCCAAAUCGCGUGAAGGAUGACUGUCUUAUGGAUUGUAAACUUCUUUUAUACGGGAAUAAUCGCAGAUACGUGUAUCUGCUUGAAUGUACCGUACGAAUAAGCAUCGGCUAACUCCGUGCCAGCAGCCGCGGUAAUACGGAGGAUGCGAGCGUUGUCCGGGAUUUAUUGGGUUUAAAGGGUGCGUAGGUGGUCUGAUAAGUCAGCGGUGAAAUUUCUGAGCUCAACUCGGACACUGCCGUUGAAACUGUCGGACUUGAGUGUAGAUGAGGUAGGCGGAAUGCGUGGUGUAGCGGUGAAAUGCAUAGAUAUCACGCAGAACUCCGAUUGCGAAGGCAGCUUACUAAGGUACAACUGACACUGAAGCACGAAAGCGUGGGUAUCAAACAGGAUUAGAUACCCUGGUAGUCCACGCUGUAAACGAUGAUUACUGGGCGUAUGCGAUAUACAGUAUGCUCCUAAGCGAAAGCGUUAAGUAAUCCACCCUGGGGAGUACGCCCGGCAACGGUGAAACUCAAAGGAAAUUGACGGGGGCCCGCACAAGCGGAGGAACAUGUGGUUUAAUUCGAUGAUACGCGAGGAACCUUACCUGGGUUUAAACUUUAGAUGACCGCUCAAGAGAUUGAGUUUUCCUUCGGGACAUCUAUUUAGGUGCUGCAUGGUUGUCGUCAGCUCGUGCCGUGAGGUGUCGGCUUAAGUGCCACAACGAGCGCAACCCCUGUCUACGGUUACCAUCAGGUCAAGCUGGGGACUCCGUAGAGACUGCCGUCGUAAGGCGUGAGGAGGGUGGGGAUGACGUCAAAUCAGCACGGCCCUUACAUCCAGGGCGACACACGUGUUAC
rnacentral:rRNA from 1 species